rnacentral:rRNA from 1 species
GCAAGUCGAGCGCCCCUCACGGGGAGCGGCAGACGGGUGAGUAACGCGUGGGAAUCUACCCAACCCUGCGGAAUAGCUCCGGGAAACUGGAAUUAAUACCGCAUACGCCCUACGGGGGAAAGAUUUAUCGGGGAUGGAUGAGCCCGCGUUGGAUUAGCUAGUUGGUGGGGUAAAGGCCUACCAAGGCGACGAUCCAUAGCUGGUCUGAGAGGAUGAUC